UAGGGGUACGGAUCGGUUUUACAGCUACAAAUCAUCCUACAGUUAAAAAUAUUUUACAAUUACAAAUAUAUUCUACAAUUACACAUCAAUAUUCUACGCACAAAAAGCUGCUCUACAGUUACAAAUCUUUUCUACAGGUGUACAGACUUUUGCACCACCUUUGGGAUGAAAAGUGUCUCAUAUGUAUUGUGUGUGUGUGUAACAGGAUUUGUAACUAAAAAUGAUUUGUGAUUUAACAAAGAAAUAACACGAACAAUUUUAAGUAUUACUCAUAUGUCGUUCACUUACAAAUAUAUUCCACAGGUAUGAAAUAUUCCACAGUUGCUGUCUUUCAAUUACGAAACUAUUUUGCCAUUACAAAUUUCUGCUGCUCGCACAAGUAUUUUCUACAAGUAUACAAAUCAUUUUGAGACUGUUCUGGCGCUUCCUGUUGAAUAGCCAAUGGCGAUCCUCAGGUUUGGCUAGCCAACCAUGAAUCUCAGUUCACUAACCAAUCACAGAGCAGGAGCAGCGCCGUCGUUGUCUGUGGGUGCAACCAAACCUGGAGUCUACGUUUGGAGCACGCUAGUUUCCUGUAUUCCUUGAGUUUCUUAUGGAUCCCCAGUUGCUGCCUCCUUCUGAAGCACAGGUUAUUAGAGAGGCUGAAAACCAGACUGGAACAGGCUCUUCAAAGGCAGCCUCUGGGCCUGGACUAUUUAGAGUUCCUCUGUACCAGUGAGUUGAGUCUAGUUCACUGAGUACUCACAUGCCAUUUCCAGAAGAGGUCAUAGGCAGACGGGAAAAGCAGGCCUUAAAAGAGGGCUACAGGAUACUGGGGUGCUCCCAAUGAUAACAGAACGGCCAGAACUGGCUAGAGUUCUGUUCCCACAAGGUGUCUCAUCUCUGAUGGAUCCUAAGAUGAUUUUUAAAAGAGUGGUUUGACCAGAUGAGGCGGAGGUUGACAAAGAUUAAAUGGAAGACUGCCGUGUCACAGCCUACCUCAGACAAUACGUUUUUCUUUAGAGACAUUGAAAGACCUGGUGGUCUUCUGGACGGGAUGGUCUGUUGGCAGGGGCAAUGCCGACUGUACUUUGAAACUCCCCCUAGGGACAAGAAUGUAUGACACCUUCAAAGAAGCUACGAAU